rnacentral:rRNA from 1 species
UGGGGAAUAUUGGACAAUGGGCGCAAGCCUGAUCCGGCCAUGCCGCGUGAGUGAUGAAGGCCUUAGGGUUGUAAAGCUCUUUCGCCAGGGACGAUAAUGACGGUACCUGGAGAAGAAGCCCCGGCCAACUUCGUGCCAGCAGCCGCGGUAAUACGAAGGGGGCUAGCGUUGUUCGGAAUCACUGGGCGUAAAGCGCACGUAGGCGGAUUUUUAAGUCAGGGGUGAAAUCCCGAGGCUCAACCUCGGAACUGCCUUUGAUACUGGGGAUCUGGAGUCCGGGAGAGGUGAGCGGAACUGCGAGUGUAGAGGUGAAAUUCGUAGAUAUUCGCAAGAACACCAGUGGCGAAGGCGGCUCACUGGCCCGGAACUGACGCUGAGGUGCGAAAGCGUGGGGCGCAAAC